UGCUACACGGUAAAGCCACAAAUUUGGCCCGUCACUGCUACAUGGUAAAGCCACAAAUUUGGCCCGUCGCUGCUACACGGUAAAGCCACAAAUUUGGCCCGUCGUUGCUACACGGUAAAGCCACAAAUUUGGCCCGUCACUGCUACACGGUAAAGCCACAAAUUUAGCCCGUCACUGGUACACGGUAAAGCCACAAAUUUGGCCCGUCACUGCUACACGGUAAAGCCACAAAUUUGGCCCGUCACUGCUACACGGUAAAGCCACAAAUUUGGCCCGUCGCUGCUACACGGUAAAGCCACAAAUUUGGCCCGUCGCUGCUACACGGUAAAGCCACAAAUUUGGUCCGUCACUGGUACACGGUUAAUGUUUCUCUUUUUCUCUUCUUAUUCUUCCUCUUUCUCCUCCUCUUCUCCUACUUGUUCUUCACCUCCUCCUCUUCUCCUUCUCCUCCCUUCUUCCUCAAAUCAUGUUUCAGACUCCUCCACUUCUUCCUCUUCCUCCUCCGUCGUCAUCUUCUCCUCCUCUCCCUCCUCUGCACCCUCCAAUAUUUAAUUCAUUCAUACAUGCAUUAUACAGUUAGCCAUCAGAAUGUAUUUAUCUAUCUAUCCAAUUAUUUGUUUAUCUAUCUUUUAUUGAUGAAUUUAUACAGUAGAUGACUAUAUAGGGCAUCACUUGUAUUUAAUUUACUCAUUCAUUUACUUCUUUAUACAGUAUUUUAUAGCAUCCUAUUCAUUUGUCCUCUCAUUUAUAUAUUCAUAGAGUUAUUCAUGUAUUGUUCAUUUAUAUACAGCAAGCCAUCCCUAGUCACCAGUUUAUUCAUUUAUACAUUCAUACAUUAGACUCAUCAUGUAAUAGUUUAUCAUUCUAUAGCUUAUUGUAUUGGUUCAUUUACAUAUACAAUAAACUCUCCCUUUUCAUCAAUCCUAUCUAUUCAUUUAUACAUUCAUACAUUAGACUCAUCAUGUAACAGUUUAUCAUUUACGCAUUAAUACAGUAGUCUAUUGCUUAUUGUAUUGGUUCAUUUAUAUAUACAGUAAACUCUCCCUAUUCAUCAGUUCCAUCUAUUCAUUUAUACAUUCAUACAAUAGAUUACAACUACUUUACAAUUGCUUUCAUUCAUACAUACAUACAUACAUACAUACAAUAGGUUAGCACUAGUUAACAAUUUAUACAUAAUCUAUUUAUACAUACUUUAUAUAUCAAUUUAUUUUUACACAUACAAGAGGUUAUCACAAUUUAUUUAUAUUUACAAGAUCAAUUAAGUGUUUUUUCAUCAUUAUUAAUACAACAACCUUCAUUAUGAGACUUUUCCUUGUUAUUUUCUUGUCUAUUAUUAUUAUUAUCAGUAGUAGUAGUAGUAGUAGUUAUAGUAAUAGUAGUAGUAGUAGUAGUAGUAAUAGUAGUAGUAGCAGUAAUAGUAGUAGUAGUAGUAGUAGUAGUAUGUGACAAGUAUUUUUAUCUAUUUUUUCUUCCUACUUUCUUAAAAAUCACGUUUCAUAUAAUUUGCAGCCUCUUAUAACUCCUCUUUCUUCUUUUUCCUCCUCCUCCUCCUCCUUUUCCUUUUCUCUUCACAAAUAUCUUCUUUUCGAUACUAAUAUUAAUCACGAUUCAUAAAAAAAAUUAUGCUCAUUUUUUCUUCUUCUUUUUUCCAUUCCCUACUUCCUAAAAUCACAGACAUUCUUCUCCUCCUCUUCCUCUUCUUCUUU